rnacentral:lncRNA from 1 species
GACAGCCAAACAGGUCUGUAGAUAUCUGGAUCACUUUUGCUUUGUUUAGGAGCAUUUUUACUUUCUUUAGCACUGGCACAGGUUGCCAGUGGAUGCCCCAUCCCUAGAGGUGUUCAAGGCCAGCUUGCUUUGGGCAACCUGGUUUGGUGGGAGGUGUCCCUGCCCAUGGCAGGAAUUUGGAAUUAAAUGACCUUUUAGGUCCCUUCCAACCCAAACCAUUCUGUGAUUCUAUGACCCCUCAUUCUUUUUAUUUACUAUUUCUUCAAAGCAAGUCAGCUACAGCAAUUCUUGACCAACUGUCAGUCCACUAGCUGUUUACAGUUUAGGUUUAAUCACUUUUACCUAAUUCAUCUCUGCCCCUUCUUUUUACCCAGAAUGUCCUGCAACUAUUUUCAAACAUAAAAUACUUCCAAACACCCUCAGCUGCAAAGUCUACAUCUUCACAUCAACACACAACUCUCAAAUAGUGUGCAAAUUACUACCAAAUCAAGCAAAACCCACAUGGAUAAAUGAGUUUACCCUCUAGAAAACAUAAUUACCUCUUCAGCAGAAACUGGUUUCAUCUAAACAUCCUUAUUUACUGCUUUCUAUUCCUUUGUCACCUCAGUAACCACCAGCUGUUCAGCUUUUAAAGCUUUUCCCUCAGCUGGCUCUGCCCCAUUUACCCUCUGCAGUUAGCUCUGAGCUAUAAUCAAAAGUAGGAAGUCUUAUAAUGUCAGCUGCAAGGUUAUUAGUUUAUUCAUAACACAGCUCCCAGACGGGAACUAAAUUGCAAUGAAACCCACCAUCAUGCAACAAAUGAGCAAAUUCUCUUCACCCAGAGAAACCAGGAUGGCUAUUUCCUCAUUGGGAACAAGCCUCAGGCUCCCAGGCUCACUCACAGCUUGUCUGCUGCAUGCACUGACCCAGCGCAGGAAGCAGAAGGAGGCAACAAUCAGGCAGCUUCCCUGAAGAAAAGCAAGCACAGUGAAACAGAAGCUCAGAGAGACCAUGCCCCUUAUUCCAGCCUCAGAUUCCCAGGAGGAAGAGCUGCCAGCACCAGAAUAAGACUAGUGCCAGUUUUGGGAAAGUCCUGCCACCUAUUGCUUGCAAAGAGAAAUUAUUUCAGCUGGCAAUACAGAAGUCUGCAAAGCCUAAAGUUUUCUAGAGACUUUCUAUUCUAAGCUGCAAGUGGUGGCAGACAUAUUCUGAUAGGCUUCAGUUUUAAGCUGCCGUUACAUCUUCCACCUCUAACACUCAGGCCUACAGCACACUCUAAUGCUAUCUUAGCUGAUGACUUGUUAAUUGAUGUUACUGUGUUUGACAGAAUUUUUUUCCUAUAUGAAAG